rnacentral:miRNA from 10 species
CAGACACCCAGAUAAACUUUAAUUUCAGAUAAACAACACUUUUUUUUCACAUGUAAGCAUGUUCCAUACACUAUUUGAGACAUACUAAUGCUAAAAAUUACUCUUUGCUCAUUUGAAAUUUAAAUUUAACUAGUUUUUCUGUA